UCGGUGGUGGUCAAACGGUUAUCACAGGGGACUUUGAAUCCUUCAGCACAGGGUUCGAAUCUCCGCGCUGCCGUCGAU
rnacentral:tRNA from 1 species